GAUGAACGCUGGCGGCGUGCCUAAUACAUGCAAGUCGAGCGAACAGACGAGGAGCUUGCUCCUCUCACGUUCGCGGCGGACGGGUGAGUAACACGUGGAUACCCUACCUAUAAGACUGGGAUAACUUCGGGAAACCGGAUCUAAUACCCGAUCAUAUAUUGAACCGCAUGGUUCAAUAGUGCACGACGGUUUUGCUGUCACUUAUAGAUGGAUCCGCGCCGCAUUAGCUAGUUGGUAAGGUAACGGCUUACCAAGGCGACGAUGCGUAGCCGACCUGAGAGGCUGAUCGGCCAGACUGGAAUGGAGACAUCGUCGAGAGGCGCACGGGAGGCAGCAGUCGGGAAUCUUUCGAAAUGGGCGAAAGCUUGACGCAGCAACGCCGCGUGAGGGAUGAAGGCCCUCGGUGCGGAAAACUCUGUUAAGAGGGAAGAACAACUGGGUAAGUAACUAUGAACGUUUUGACGGUACCUAAUAAAAAAGCAACGGCUAACUACGUG
rnacentral:rRNA from 1 species